rnacentral:rRNA from 1 species
GACGAACGCUGGCGGCGUGCUUAACACAUGCAAGUCGAACGAUCAUCUCCCGCUUGCGGGGGUGAUUAGUGGCGAACGGGUGAGUAAUACGUGAGUAAACUGCCAUUGACUCUGGGAUAAGCCGGGGAAACCGGGUCUAAUACUGGAUACUACUUCCUGCCGCAUGGUGGGGGGUGGAAAGGGUUUUACUGGUGUUGGAUGGGCUCACGGCCUAUCAGCUAGUAGGUGGAGUAACGGCUAAACUAGGCGACGACGGGUAGCCGACAUGAGAAGGUGAUCGGCCACACUGGGACUGAGACACGGCCCAGACUACUACGGGAGGCAGCAGUAGGGAAGCUGCGGCAAUGGACGAAAGUCUGACCGAGCAACGCCGCGUGAGGGAAGAAGGGUGUCGGAUCGUAAAGAUCGGUUGUAAGAGAAGAACGGGGGUGAGAGUGGAAAGUUCACACUGUGACGGUAUCUUACCAGAAAGGGACGGCUAACUACGUG